CAUGCAAGUCGAGGGGAAACGAUAUUGGAAGCUUGCUUCCGAUAGGCGUCGACCGGCGCACGGGUGAGUAACGCGUAUCCAACCUGCCCACCACUUGGGGAUAACCUUGCGAAAGUAAGACUAAUACCCAAUGACGUCUCUAGAGGACAUCUGAAAGAGAUUAAAGAUUUAUCGGUGAUGGAUGGGGAUGCGUCUGAUUAGCUUGUUGGCGGGGUAACGGCCCACCAAGGCUACGAUCAGUAGGGGUUCUGAGAGGAAGGUCCCCCACAUUGGAACUGAGACACGGUCCAAACUCCUACGGGAGGCAGCAGUGAGGAAUAUUGGUCAAUGGACGAGAGUCUGAACCAGCCAAGUAGCGUGCAGGAUGACGGCCCUAUGGGUUGUAAACUGCUUUUAUAAGGGAAUAAAGUGAGUCUCGUGAGACUUUUUGCAUGUACCUUAUGAAUAAGGACCGGCUAAUUCCGUGCCAGCAGCCGCGGUAAUACGGAAGGUCCGGGCGUUAUCCGGAUUUAUUGGGUUUAAAGGGAGCGUAGGCCGGAGAUUAAGCGUGUUGUGAAAUGUAGACGCUCAACGUCUGCACUGCAGCGCGAACUGGUUUCCUUGAGUACGCACAAAGUGGGCGGAAUUCGUGGUGUAGCGGUGAAAUGCUUAGAUAUCACGAAGAACUCCGAUUGCGAAGGCAGCUCACUGGAGCGCAACUGACGCUGAAGCUCGAAAGUGCGGGUAUCGAACAGGAUUAGAUACCCUGGUAGUCCGCACGGUAAACGAUGGAUGCCCGCUGUUGGUCUGAAUAGGUCAGCGGCCAAGCGAAAGCAUUAAGCAUCCCACCUGGGGAGUACGCCGGCAACGGUGAAACUCAAAGGAAUUGACGGGGGCCCGCACAAGCGGAGGAACAUGUGGUUUAAUUCGAUGAUACGCGAGGAACCUUACCCGG
rnacentral:rRNA from 1 species